rnacentral:rRNA from 1 species
GAUGAACGCUGGCGGCGUGCCUAAUACAUGCAAGUAGAACGCUGAAGGAAGGAGCUUGCUCUUUCCGGAUGAGUUGCGAACGGGUGAGUAACGCGUAGGUAACCUGCCUGGUAGCGGGGGAUAACUAUUGGAAACGAUAGCUAAUACCGCAUAACAGUAGAUGUUGCAUGAUAUCUACUUAAAAGGUGCAAUUGCACCACUACCAGAUGGACCUGCGUUGUAUUAGCUAGUUGGUGAGGUAACGGCUCACCAGGGCGACGAUACAUAGCCGACCUGAGAGGGUGAUCGGCCACACUGGGACUGAGACACGGCCCAGACUCCUACGGGAGGCAGCAGUAGGGAAUCUUCGGCAAUGGACGGAAGUCUGACCGAGCAACGCCGCGUGAGUGAAGAAGGGUUUCGGAUCGUAAAGCUCUGUUGUAGGAGAAGAACGAGUGUGAGAGUGGAAAGUUCACACUGUGACGGUAGCUGACCAGAAAGGGACGGCUAACUACGUG